CUUUCUAGUACGGGGCCAGCAGUCGCGGUAAUACGUAGGGUGCAAGCGUUAUCCGGAUUCACUGGGCGUAAAGUGUCGUGUAGGUGGACUCCCGCAUCGUGCUUGAAAGCCCGAGGCUUAACCUCGGCGUUGGGCACGAGAUGGGGAGACUAGAGGGAGGUAGAGGAACGGGGAACUCAUGGUGAAGCAGUGAAAUGCGUUGAUAUCAUGAGGAACACCAAAGGCGAAGGCACCGUUCUGGACCUUUCCUGACACUGAGACACGAAAGCUAGGGGAGCGAAGCAGAUUAGAGACCUGCGUAGUCCUAGCCCUAAACGCAUGUCUGCUAGAUGUUCCGGCUUUGCCGGAGUGUCGUAAGCUAACGCGUUAAGCAGACCGCCUGGGGAGUACGAUCGCAAGAUUAAAACUCAAAGGAAUUGACGGGGACCCGCACAACCGGUGGAGCGUGUGGUUCAAUUCGAGACAAAGCGAAAGACCUCACCAAGGUUUGACAUUCCGCCGUUUUAUUUUGAUGGAAACAUUGAAAGAUCCGCAAGGAAGGCGGAACAGCUGCUGCAUGGCAGCCGUCAGCUCGUGCCGUGAGGUGUUCCCUUAAGUGGGAGAACGAGCGCAACCCCCAUCCAAUGUUACAAGUGUCAUUGGAGACCGCCCACUCUCAAAGUCGAAGACUUUGAGAGAAUACUACCAAUAUUCAAAUACUACCAAUAAUCCAAUAAGCAAAUAAAAAACUUUUCAUUUGUUUAUUGCUAGUAUUGGAUGAUUUGAUAAUUGGAUUAUUCUCUCAAAAGCGUCGUCGCUUUUGAGAGUGGGAGGAAGGAGGGGAUGACGACAUGUCAGCACGGCGCUUAUACCUUGGGCCACACACACCCUACAAUGGCGAAUAACAAUGGGACGCAAGGCGGCAACGCCAAGCAAAUCCCUCUAAAUUUCGCCUCAGUUCAGAUUGGGGUCUGCAACCCGACCCCAUGAAGUCGGAAUCGGUAGUAAUCGCAGAUCAGCAGGCUGCGGUGAAUACGUUCUCGGGUCUUGUACACACCGCCCGUCAAGCCAACAAAGUUGGAGGCGGCCGAACCCCCGAAAUUUGGGAUGCGAAAGCAUCUGCCCUAACCCUGAAAAUUUCUGAAACGCGAAGCGUUUUGCAUAGCAAACAGAAAUUUUUAGGGUAGGACCCCAAAUUUCGGGGGGAAGCCGAAUUCAGCGAUGGGGACUAAGUCGUAACAAGGUAUCCCUAGCCGAAGCUGGGGAUGGAUCACCUCCUUU
rfam:Candidatus Gottesmanbacteria bacterium RIFCSPLOWO2_01_FTLL_49_10 rifcsplowo2_01_scaffold_50793, whole genome shotgun sequence.